rnacentral:rRNA from 1 species
CCUACGGGUGGCAGCAGUGGGGAAUAUUGCGCAAUGGGGGCAACCCUGACGCAGCAACGCCGCGUGCAGGAAGAAGGUCUUCGGAUUGUAAACUGUUGUCGCAGGGGAAGAAGACAGUGACGGUACCCUGUGAGAAAGUCACGGCUAACUACGUGCCAGCAGCCGCGGUAAUACGGAGGAUGCGAGCGUUAUCCGGAUUUAUUGGGUUUAAAGGGUGCGUAGGCGGAUUAGUAAGUCAGCGGUAAAAAUGCGGUGCUCAACGCCGUAUCGCCGUUGAAACUGCGGGUCUUGAGUGAGCGAGAAGUAUGCGGAAUGCGUGGUGUAGCGGUGAAAUGCAUAGAUAUCACGCAGAACUCCGAUUGCGAAGGCAGCAUACCGGCGCUCAACUGACGCUGAGGCACGAAAGCGUGGGGAUCGAACAGGAUUAGAUACCCCAGUAGUC